rnacentral:rRNA from 1 species
GACCUCGGAUCAGGUAGGGAUACCCGCUGAACUUAAGCAUAUCAAUAAGCGGAGGAAGAGAAACCAACAGGGAUUGCCUCAGUAACGGCGAGUGAAGCGGCAACAGCUCAAAUUUGAAAUCUGGCCUUCUGGUCCGAAUUGUAAUUUGUAGAGGAUGCUACGAACAUGGUCCGGUCUAAGUUCCUUGGAACAGGACGUCAUAGAGGGUGAGAAUCCCGUAUGUGACUGGGUGCCUAAGUUCAUGUGAAGCUCCUUCAACGAGUCGAGUUGUUUGGGAAUGCAGCUCAAAAUGGGUGGUAAAUUUCAUCUAAAGCUAAAUAUUGGCCAGAGACCGAUAGCGCACAAGUAGAGUGAUCGAAAGAUGAAAAGCACUUUGGAAAGAGAGUUAAAUAGUACGUGAAAUUGUUGAAAGGGAAGCGCUUGCAAUCAG